rnacentral:rRNA from 1 species
UCGAGGAUCUUCCGCAAUGGGCGAAAGCCUGACGGAGCGACACCGCGUGCAGGAUGAAGGCCUUCGGGUUGUAAACUGCUUUAGCGCCAUAGGAACUCCGCAAGGAUUGACUAAAGCGUAAAUAAGCACCGGCUAACUACGUGCCAGCAGCCGCGGUAAUACGUAGGGUGCAAGCGUUAAUCGGAAUUACUGGGCGUAAAGCGUGCGCAGGCGGUUUUGUAAGUCUGAUGUGAAAUCCCCGGGCUCAACCUGGGAAUUGCAUUGGAGACUGCAAGGCUAGAAUCUGGCAGAGGGGGGUAGAAUUCCACGUGUAGCAGUGAAAUGCGUAGAUAUGUGGAGGAACACCGAUGGCGAAGGCAGCCCCCUGGGUCAAGAUUGACGCUCAUGCACGAAAGCGUGGGGAGCAAACAGGAUUAGAUACCCACGUAGUCCCUGAGCGGGCUGGCAAGGCGCAU